rnacentral:rRNA from 1 species
UGGGGAAUUUUGGGCAAUGGGCGAAAGCCUGACCCAGCAACGCCGCGUGAAGGAUGAAGUAUUUCGGUAUGUAAACUUCGAAAGAAUAGGAAGAAUAAAUGACGGUACUAUUUAUAAGGUCCGGCUAACUACGUGCCAGCAGCCGCGGUAAUACGUAGGGACCAAGCGUUGUUCGGAUUUACUGGGCGUAAAGGGCGCGUAGGCGGCAAUUCAAGUCAUCUGUGAAAUCUCCGGGCUUAACUCGGAACGGUCAGAUGAUACUGCUUUGCUAGAGUGCAGAAGGGGCAAUCGGAAUUCUUGGUGUAGCGGUGAAAUGCGUAGAUAUCAAGAGGAACACCUGAGGUGAAGACGGGUUGCUGGGCUGACACUGACGCUGAGGCGCGAAAGCCAGGGGAGCAAACGGGAUUAGGAUACCCUUGUAGUCCCUGAGCGGGCUGGCAAGGCGCAU